GGGAAUGUGGCUUAGUGGUAGAGUACUUGCCUAGCAUGCAUGAAGCCCUGGUUCGAUUCCUCAGUACCA
rnacentral:tRNA from 1 species